rnacentral:sRNA from 1 species
ACUCUUAAGGUUCCGACCACAGACUGCGGAGUGGGUCCGGGGCUGCGAGGGCUGCCCCAGGUCCUAGCGGGUUUCCACGGGCGCGCCCGGCUCCGCCCGCAAGUGCGCCUUCCUGACUUACUGCUGGGUGCGCGGGGCUGGGGGUGCGAGGACCACCCCUGAAGUCUCUUCCUGGGCGACCUCCGGGGCCUCAUUCUAGGCCUCCUUAAAGAGAAGGAUCUAAAUUAGGAAAAGGAAGUACCCUUAUCCACGACCAAGCUCUUCCACCUGCGGAGCUCGCUUAGUCUGCACCUCAACCGUGCGGAAAGUGACUGCCCUGUUUACUGAGGAAAAACUGGGGCUCAGAAAGAUACCAUGGAGUAGUUUGAAACAGGAACAAAAUCUUCUGAAAGCUCGGAGCAGAAGCCUUUUUGGUCAACAUGGAGGAAAAAAGACGGCGAGCCCGAGUUCAGGGAGCCUGGGCUGCCCCUGUUAAAAGCCAGGCCAUUGCUCAGCCAGGCAAGAAUCUGUAGGGAUUUUGUGUGUGUGUGGAUAUGGACAACUCUCAUUCUCUUUUAUUUAUAUCCUUU